GACGAACGCUGGCGGCGUGCUUAACACAUGCAAGUCGAACGGUAAGGCCCUUCGGGGUACACGAGUGGCGAACGGGUGAGUAACACGUGGGUGAUCUGCCCUGCACUUCGGGAUAAGCCUGGGAAACUGGGUCUAAUACCGGAUAGGACCACUGCCUGCAUGGGUGGUGGUGGAAAGCUUUUGCGGUGUGGGAUGGGCCCGCGGCCUAUCAGCUUGUUGGUGGGGUGAUGGCCUACCAAGGCGACGACGGGUAGCCGGCCUGAGAGGGUGACCGGCCACACUGGGACUGGGAUCCGGCCCAGACUCCUACGGGAGGCAGCAGUGGGGAAUAUUGCACAAUGGGCGCAAGCCUGAUGCAGCGACGCCGCGUGAGGGAUGACGGCCUUCGGGUUGUAAACCUCUUUCAGCACCGACGAAGCGCAAGUGACGGUAGAUGCAGAAGAAGGACCGGCCAACUACGUGCCAGCAGCCGCCGUAA
rnacentral:rRNA from 1 species